rnacentral:lncRNA from 1 species
AAUUUAUCUUUCUCGUUAUUUGGCCUUUUGCUUCGAAUCACACCGUUGCGGAAGGUUUCCUCGGUUGGUUUUCUUGAUUUUUCAUUACUACUACAUUCUUUCUAAAAUUUCCACAGAGUCGAUUGUCUGUUGAAGCUUGUAUGCGCCCCAACUGUUCUUUCUAAUCCUUUGUGCCGUCUUCAGGUCCCUACCUUUCAGGUUUCGAGCUCUGAUUUCUUCUUCUUUUUCUUUGGUUCGAUUCUUUUCUUUUUCUGUCUCGGUUUAGUUCUUUUAUCAAAGUUGGUUAUAUUUGCUCAUUUUAUUGAUUAUUCUUUUAGUUUGUUAAACCACGGCGGACAAAUUUGCUGCUUAAGUGGAAAUUUCCGUAAAUUUACUUGUAAACAUGUUUUUUCAAUUCUCGAAUUAUCUGUAAAUAAAGGAAGAAAACGAAACCCUAGAACUAGCUGUUCGAGAAGAAAAAAAAAACUAUGACUUAUAAUUGUUCCCUUAGAAUUGGUUUCUUUGCUGUAAAGGUCAGAAUGACUGUUUUCGGUUUCUUGAAUUAUGUAUAAAGAAAGAAACAAACAAAAAAAACUAGAAUGAGGUGUUCAAUAAUAAA